GUGGCAUGUGAGCUGUGCCUUCCCCAGCCAGUGCAGUGGCUGCAGCAGCAGCUGACAUUGCAGAUGAUUUUCCUGACGUGGCAGCUGCAGCGGCAGCAAUUGCAGCUGCUGCAGUUGCUGUAUUUAGAGUAUCAGCAAAGGACUCAAUGUAGAUCCAUGUAGCAAAUGCAUAUCCAUUAGUAAAAGGCCAACGACUCUCCCCUGGAC
rnacentral:misc_RNA from 1 species